rnacentral:rRNA from 1 species
AGUGAACGCUGGCGGUAGGCCUAACACAUGCAAGUCGAACGGCAGCACAGUAAGAGCUUGCUCUUACGGGUGGCGAGUGGCGGACGGGUGAGGAAUACAUCGGAAUCUACUUUUUCGUGGGGGAUAACGUAGGGAAACUUACGCUAAUACCGCAUACGACCUACGGGUGAAAGCAGGGGAUCUUCGGACCUUGCGCGAUUGAAUGAGCCGAUGUCGGAUUAGCUAGUUGGCGGGGUAAAGGCCCACCAAGGCGACGAUCCGUAGCUGGUCUGAGAGGAUGAUCAGCCACACUGGGACUGAGACACGGUCCAGACUCCUACGGGAGGCAGCAGUAGGGAAUAUUGCACAAUGGGCGCAAGCCUGAUCCAGCAAUACCGCGUGAGUGAAGAAGGCCUUCGGGUUGUAAAGCCCUGUUGUUAGGGAAGAAAAGCAAACGGUUAAUACCACGCUGCUCUGACGGUACCCAAAGAUUAAGCAACGGCUAACUUCGUG